CCCUACGGGGCGCAGCAGGCUGAAGGGGUGGGCCCCGCCCCACCAGGCCUGGGUGUUGGUGGGGAAUCGGCCGUGCACCGUCCAGGUAUAGGCGGAGUAGAGCUGGUCGAGCAUGAAAUACUCGCCUAUGUCCUCAGGAUAGCCCACGCCCUUGAAGCAGCCCAUGUUCUUUCCGGAAGAGAAUACAUAGGCAUUCUCGAUACCGGUAUUGACGGUCAUGAUCUUUUUGACUAUGUAGUCGCCGUCGGACAGAUCUGCCUCUUCACCCUGCUUUUUGGGCUGGGCGAAGUAGCGCCAUACCAGAGGCGGGUCGCUUACCGUGGACUCGUCCCUGUGGGGGAUCUCCUCAUCGUGCACCACAUCGAAAUUCUGGCCGAGGAAGGCGUCCAGCUCUUUUUUGGCGGGGGAGC
rnacentral:rRNA from 1 species